rnacentral:rRNA from 1 species
AUUGAACGCUGGCGGCAUGCCUUACACAUGCAAGUCGAACGGCAGCGGGCCUUCGGGUGCCGGCGAGUGGCGAACGGUGAGUAAUGCAUCGGAACGUGCCAUUGAGUGGGGGAUAACGUAGCGAAAGUUACGCUAAUACCGCAUAUUCUGUGAGCAGGAAAGCAGGGGACCGCAAGGCCUUGCGCUCUUUGAGCGGCCGAUGUCAGAUUAGCUAGUUGGUGAGGUAAGGCUUACCAAGGCGACGAUCUGUAGCGGGUCUGAGAGGAUGAU